rnacentral:rRNA from 1 species
AUACCGAUGGCGAAGGCAGCCCCCUGGGAUAACACUGACGCUCAUGCACGAAAGCGUGGGGAGCAUACAGGAUUAGAUACCCUGGUAGUCCACGCCCUAAACGAUGACUACUAGUUGUCGGGUCAUAAUUGACUUGGUAACGCAGCUAACGCGUGAAGUAGACGGCCUGGGGAGUACGGUCGCAAGAUUAAAACUCAAAGGAAUUGG